rnacentral:rRNA from 1 species
GGCUGAGUAACACGUGGAGACCCUGCCCCCUCCCCCGGGAUAGCCGCCCGAAAGGACGGGUAAUACCGGAUACCCCGGGGUGCCGCAUGGCACCCCGGCUAAAGCCCCGACGGGAGGGGAUGGCUCCGCGGCCCAUCAGGUAGACGGCGGGGUGACGGCCCACCGUGCCGACAACGGGUAGCCGGGUUGAGAGACCGACCGGCCAGAUCGGGACUGAGACACGGCCCAGACUCCUACGGGAGGCAGCAGUGGGGAAUCUUGCGCAAUGGGGGGAACCCUGACGCAGCGACGCCGCGUGCGGGACGGAGGCCUUCGGGUCGUAAACCGCUUUCAGCAGGGAAGAGUCAAGACUGUACCUGCAGAAGAAGCCCCGGCUAACUACGUGCCAGCAGCCGCGGUAAUACGUAGGGGGCGAGCGUUAUCCGGAUUCAUUGGGCGUAAAGCGCGCGUAGGCGGCCCGGCAGGCCGGGGGUCGAAGCGGGGGGCUCAACCCCCCGAAGCCCCCGGAACCUCCGCGGCUUGGGUCCGGUAGGGGAGGGUGGAACACCCGGUGUAGCGGUGGAAUGCGCAGAUAUCGGGUGGAACACCGGUGGCGAAGGCGGCCCUCUGGGCCGAGACCGACGCUGAGGCGCGAAAGCUGGGGGAGCGAACAGGAUUAGAUACCCUGGUAGUCCCAGCCGUAAACGAUGGACGCUAGGUGUGGGGGGACG